CCCAGCCAUAACCUCUUCUGGACCCAAUCCUGACCCUGCCCACACCUCCCAUGUAACCCACUCUGACCCAGCCACCGCCUCAUGUCACUCACACAGGGUAGAGCAUGAGUCCAUGGCCAAUGUCCCAACCUCCUGGAAUCUCUCCAACUGUCAUGGAACCUCCCCCAACUCCAGCUGCAGGCUUGACUGAAGCCCUGAGGCCUGCCUCUGGGCAGCAGGGGAGACAAGAGGACAUAGAAGAAGGGCCAGAGGGAUUCAAACCGCAAAGGACCAAGCCGGAACCUGGGAGGGAGACCAACAGAUUUCCAGGUGGCCAUGGAGGUGUCUGGAAGGAGGAGCUGAAGCGGUUGGCAGGCUGUUUAGUGCAUCUGGGGACUGGCCUUGCCCACAUCCCCACAUGUCCCAGAGGCCCCAAUCUGGCCCCCAGAGCACCAAGCCAAGUUUCCUUCCAGCAGCAUCCAGUAAUACUCAAAAUGAGACUGAAGUCUCCCCACCAAUUACCUACAGGCCCCGGGUCAGUAUCCAAGGCUUUCAGCCCAUUACCAACAGUGACCAGGUCAGCAUCCAAGAGCCCUUGUCCAUUAUCCACAAUCACCAUGUCCAAGACCCUCCACUAGUCCACGGUUGCUGGGCCAGUACCCAAGACGCACCACCCAUUAUCAAUAGUGGCUGGAUCAGUACUGAGGACACGCCGUCCACCAUGAACAGUCAUCAGCUCAGUAUCCAAGACACAUCGUCAGUUACCUACAGUCACCGCUUCAGUACCCGAGAUGUUCCACCAAUUUCCCAAAAUCACCACUUCAGCAUCCAAAAUUCUCCAUUACUAUCUCAAGAGACCAAUAUAGAGUCUCUUAUCUACAGUGGUAGCCAAGUCAUUAGCCAAGACCAUCUUCCAACAAACCAGAGUCCCUGCUCAAGUACUCAAUGCCUCAUAUCGCCGAUCCAGGCCAAGGUUGAUGCCUCACCUUCAAUUACUCACAUCUCCACAGCCAGUAUCAAAAGCCUUGAUUCAACCAUCUGGACCUCCCAAGAGAGUUCCAAAGACACUAUGGACAGCUUCCUGGGCAACCCAAGUACUCUAGACAACAAUGUCCAGAGCAUACAGUCAAACAGAUCUGCAAAGAUGGAUUCUGGCAGGUGUCAGAGAAAGAGUACAUGCAGCCAAUCACAGCUGCCCCUGGGCUGGCGGCUGCUACACAGAGCCAAGAAGAUCAGCCAUCAGGUGAGCCUGGCACUAAGCCUGGCUGGCAUGGUGAUCAUCGGUCUCAUCGCUCUGGGCCAGCCCUGGAUCCACUUCCAGGUGCCACUGACGCCCCCUGGGGAUCCUGAUGGCCCCUUGUCCAUCCCUAUCAACACCAUCUUCUUUGUGCAGUGCCCUGACAUCUCCUGCCUCCAUGAGUACGACCAGAAUGCUUACCUUCUGGACUUUGCCUGGGCCUUUCUCAUCCUCGCCAGCAUCACCAGCAUCUGCCUCUGCAUCUUACUCCUAAACAUCAUCUUCUUCACCAGCUCCAACACACCCACGCUGGACUUCUCCAACGGCAUCCUCGGGAUCCUGACAGGCAUGGCACUGAGACUUAUCCCUCCAGAACCCUGGCAAAGAGUGCCUUGCCCAGUGCCCAGGAUGAUAUCCAACCCCCUCCCCACCACAUUUCAACACUGUCCUUGUCCUCACAUUCAUUGCCCAUGCCAAUGCUAUCUCCCUCCAAAUCUCCAACCAAGCCCGAUAAAAAAUGUGAACUUCCAAUACAACCGCAUCUCCAGCCCCAAUAUCAGCCUCCAGUUCACCUGUCAUCUCUGUCACCAACGAAUCUCAAACUCAUCGGUAUUCAUUUUUGUGGUGUCCAUACCCAUCUCAUCCCCCAUUCCAAUUCUAUCUCUUUCCAAUCUCCAAACCAUCCCCCUUACCAUCCCUAACCCCUUUCCAAAUCUCAACACUCAUUCCAAAUCCAACCCAACUCUAUCACCUGUGAACCUCACUUUCAAACUCAACACAACCCCAUCCCCAACCUUACCGUCCAUCUUCAUCACUCAAACUUGAACCUCUAC
ensembl:lncRNA